GCAGGUAUAGUUUAAUGGUAGAACCUCAGCCUUCCAAGCUGAUGGUGCGAGUUCGAUUCUCGUUACCUGCUCCA
rnacentral:tRNA from 1 species